rnacentral:lncRNA from 1 species
GAAAAAUAAGAGGAAAGAAGAAAAGAAAAGCGGCGAAUUAUAGGCAAAAUUAUGUUCUUAAGACAUACUCCUACAAUUCAAAUAUGAGGAUUCUAAAUUACCUUUCAUUGAAUCCUGUCGUGGCAGCAACAUGUACUACAAUUUCUAUUUCUUUCAACAUUUGUUCCCUUAAUUUUGAUUCAUUCACCCCCAAGUUUUCGGAAGAAAUAUCGCCAGGCACUGCUAUCACCUUGGUUAAUAUAAAGGAAUCAAAUUCCGAACCCCAAUUGUCUCGAAGAAUCGUAAACAAUUCUGUAUCUAUAAUCUACAUAAAAAUUAAGAUGUGUAAGUUUUUUUUUUUUGUGAAUUUGAAAUUGAAUUUUAUAUCACGUGUAACAAAUUGGAUUGAAAUAAAAAUUUUAAUUUCAAAUUUAGUAUGAAUCAUAUGAUAGAACAGUAGUAAUUACGAAUAUGACUUUCAUGAUUAUCGUAAAAUUGUCUGAAUUAUGGAACUUAAAAUUCAUUAUAUACCUCACUAUGCAGGCGUUUUGUGGCAGAUUUAGCAUCUGCAGCCUUCAAAAGAAGAUAGAGCUUAUUCACAUUUGGUUGAAUCCUUAAUAUCUUCUCGACAAAGACUGAAACCGGAGUUCAGAAUUAAAUGAUUAAGUAAAACUAAAAUGAUUAAUUAUAUUGUGUUUUAAAUGAAAUCAUCAUCCUUGGCUUCGUAAGAGAGAGAGAGAGUACUCUUUGCCAAAAAUCCAGUUGCACCAGUGACUAAAAUAGUUUUGCCUUGAAGAAACUUGACAACAUGAUCCAACUCCAUAUUCAUGUCUGAGAACCCAAAAAGAAAUCAAAUAAAAGAAGUAACUUUUUUAUAAUAUUUAUUGGAAUAAAAUUGGGUAAAAUUCAAUAUUUGAUAGAAGAAAAGAUAAGAUAAAUGUAUGCUUCCCAACAUCUAAAUUGCAAUGUUUAAUGAUAAUUUGGAAGUAUUGAAAAUAAUAGUAAUUAAAGUUGAAAAAUAAUAUAACAUGUGGCAUCACCUUGAUUUUGGAAUUUCUUUUCCCCUGUUUUUUUUUUCUCUUGUUCUUUUGCCUGUUCUUCCUCUUCGUCUUUAUGUGAGUUCUAAAAGGUAUUUAUAGGGGAGAACCAGAGCUGUCGAUGGAAGGGGAAAACCCCCAUUUUGGUGCCCUUAGGCCACAGCUUUUGUGCAGUGAAUGAGUUAUGGCAUUGAUAGAGGAGAACCAGAGCUGUUGAUGGUAGUGGAAAACCCCCAUUUUGGUGCCCUUAGGCCAAAGCUAUUGGUGGUCCUAUUUCGUGUAUCAUAUCCCAUCUUAAUUGAAUGUGAAUAUGAUUGUUAACACCUUUAUAAGACUUUAGGUUAAUCACUAUUAGUAAAUUAUGUUUAAACUUUUAAAAAUUAUGUAAUUUAGAUCCGAAAAAUUACUAGACUGGUGAUGUUUGCAUCAGGAUCAUUACACUAUGUGGUUCGGAGUAUGCAUGUUAGAUUACAGCUAACUGAGGGCAGAAGCUGGAAGCAGGAUUAACGACCUAAAUGAGGAAGGCAAAGGAGAGACGUGUCAAGGUCAAGGAUGGAUUAGUAGGAGGGAUACCUUCCAUCUCUGCUCUCCUCAAACACUUAUAUUUGCUUUAAAAUGAUAUGGAAUGUGGACAAAUAAAUAUUUUUUUAGUACAAAAAAAAAAGAAUAGAAGGUAUGUUUGAGAUUUCACUUAAUGACAAUUAAGUGAUUUGGUGUAGCAUUGCUGUAAUGAUCUACAAUAAGGGAUUGAUAAUUUCACACCUAUUGAGGAGAAAUUUAUAUGCUGGUGGAGAAAUUAUCAGUUUGAUUGCUGUUGAUGUUGGGAGGGUUGGAGAGUUUAACUGGUGUUUACAUGGUCUACGGAUGGCCCUUUUGCAAGUUGUACGGAAAUCUUGGUUUUUCCUAACUUGUGGCUUUUGCUGCAACAGUCUUGCUAAUUAAUGCUUGCAAAGCUUCCAUUAGGCAAAUUGCAAUGGAAGCUUCAGGACAAAUUGAUGGAUUCAAAAGGUAAAAAGAAUGAAGGCAACAUCUAAGGUUUUAAAGAAUAUGAGAAUUCUGAAGCUUCAGGGAUGGGAAACGAUGUUCAAUUUGAAUUCAAAAGAAGAAUUUUAAUUUCAUAUUACAAAUUAACAUGAUUUUCAUGAUUAUCAUCAAAUUGUCUGAAUCAUGUUAACGAAGUGCGGAACUUAAAAUUCAUUAUAUAUCUCAGUAUGCAAGCAUUUUGUGAGAGAUUUAAUAUCUGCAGCCCCUACAGAAGACAACUUAUUCACCAUUUGGUUGAAUCCUUAAUUAAUAUUACUCUUUGCCAAAAAUCCAGUUGCACCAGUGAUUAACAUAGUCUUGCCUGGAAGAAACUUGACAACGUUAUCCAACUCUAUAUGCAUGUAUGAGAAUCCAGAAAGAAAUCAAAUUAAAAAAAGUAAUUUAUUUAUUGUAUAUAUUGGAAUAAAAUUGGGUAAAUUUGAAUAAUUUAAUAGAGAAAAGAUCAGAUAUAUAUCCUUCCCAACACUUCACCAAGAAAUUGCAAUGUUUAAUGAUAAUUUGGAAGUAUUGAAAAUAAUAUUAAUUAGUGACUUGAAAAAUAAGAUAACAUGUGGACACCAACUUGAUUUUGGAAUUUCUUUUCCCUUGUUUUUUAUUUUCUUGUUCUUUAACCUGUUUUCCUCAUUUUGCGAAUUUGAGUUUAAGAGGUAUUUAUAGGGGAGAACCUGAGCUGUUGAUGGUUCUUGUCAAAAAUACCUCUCAUACAUAAUGUGCUUUUUUAAAAUAGCUCUCUCUAUAAUUUUAACUAUUUUUAGUCAAGAGAAAUUACUUUUGGACUAAAUUACCUUUAAUGAAACAAACCCAUAUGUUUAGGUCUGCGCCUCAAACUGACUCAUAUCCUUUGAUCUUUCCUCAUCAGACCAUUUAUCUCUGGAGUAUUUCUUACCAGAAAGAAAAACUUUUAAGCAUUUUGAGUAUUUUAGAGUGAUUUUUGAUAUACGUAGAAAACUUUUGAGCGUUUUGAGUAUUUUUAAGCAUUUGGAGUCGUUUUUGAUACAUAAAGAAAAACCUUUGAGCAUUUUAAGCAUUCUUCGACAAGUACGCAUAUUCGUUGAUUAUAUUGUUAAAUAGAAUAUGGUAUAUUAUUUGAAGUUGUUGAUUUUGUUAAAUGAAAUUCAGUAAUUUUGGUGAUUUUUAGGCCUUGGGUAACCGAUAUUUGUGCAUUGCGUGACUAGUUUUUAGGCAUUGCAUUACUAAUUUUUAGGCAUUGCAGGAUUGAUUUUUAAGUAUUAUGUGACUAGUUGAUAUGACAUUACCUAACAGAUUGAUAGACAUUGCGUGACUGGUUAGUAAGGCGUUGCAUAACUAGUUAGGAAGACCUUGUGUGACUUAGGCAUUGCCUAAAAAUCAGUCGCAUAAUACCUAAAAAUCAAUCACACAAUGCCAAAAACCAAUCACGUAAUGCCUGAAUAUUAGAGACGUAAUGAUUAAGGCAUGCAAUGCCUAAAAACUAGUCUUACAAUACCUAAAAGCUAGUAAAGCAAUACCUAAUAACUAAUUGAUUUACUUGCUCGCAGUCAGGUUUAAGUUGCCAAAGUCAUACAGUAUUCUAAUUUUUUUUUUUUAUAAUUGGGGGAGAGGGGAUUCGAACCCUGCUCUUUAAGCAAGGCGAUAAUGCACCAACCAAUGAGCCAAAUGCUCUUGAGUCAUACAAUGUUCUAAUUUAUAGAUAUAUCUAAUCAAUUUCAACCCCCUCAACUAUGGGGUUCUAUGAAUAAAUCAAUAAACCCAAUAACUUAAAACACAUACCUUGAUAUCAUCUCUGCACUUUGGGGUGGCAAGAAAGAGCUGGACGACGAGAUAGACAGUAUUUGCCAAGAGAGAGAAAUCGGGAUUUGAUUUUGAAAUUUUUGUCUGGAUGGUGACAUAAAGAAAACUGAAACCAUUUUAAUUUGUCUGAAAUUAUUUAAAGGGCAUUGUUAUCAAGUCAUGUCAAAAAUUGACUAAAAAUAGUUAAAAUUAUAAUGAAGGAUAUUUUUGAAUUACGUUUAUGAGAAGGAUUAUUUCUCAUAAUUUUCUCUAGUAGAAAACACCCCAUUUUGGUGCCCUUAGGCCACUACUUUUGAGCAAUGAAUGAAGUUAUGGCAACCGAUGGUCCUAUUUCAUGUAAUGGCCUUUCCUUUCUGAAAUUGGGUACUUCAAUCCGAACAUAAAGUUAGGUUUAGUUUCUACCAAAUUUAGGGGCAUGCUAGAGGGAAGCCCCAGCCGAAAGAAUGUGGAGGUGGAUUCCAAUGGGUUUGUUAAGCAGGUGCAGACAUUGCUAUCAGUUUGUCCAGUUUGGCUCUCAGAGUCAAAAAAGGUUGCUCUCUAACAAUCCCUAUCAAGGUCUUAGACUGAACCCCACAAGAAAUAUUUGGUCUUUAAUUACUUGGGGUAAGAAAACAAACAAAAAUUCAGACUAUGAAUUCUUUAUUUUACUUUGAAGCAAAGAUAAAAUGAUGAAGUAUCAACUACACAAAUAAAUGAAGAACUAUCAAAGCAAUAACAUCUGUUAUUGGUCACAACGAAAGUAAUGCAAGUAUUCUCCUUCUUUCCUCAUCCGUUAAGUUGUUCAAAGCUUGAUGCCCACUACUUCGUUUUUUUUUUAAGAUUUGAAGAAGGAGAUUCAAACUUUACUCUUCAAAUAGGAAGAUUAUACAUCAGCUAAUGAAUCAAAUAUUCGUGUGUGCCUUCUAUGUAAAUUUUAUUCAAUUAAUUUUAUUUUUUAAUAAUAAUUAAGAUUUAAUCCAUGUCUUAAGACGCCAGGAAUGUGAAUGUUCAUCAUGUAAUCCUUCCAAUCAAUACUCUUGGAAUCGAAGUCAAAUACACCCAUAUCAAUGCCUCUCCCUUGAGCCACCAUUCGCAACUUGUCUAAAUUUGUGUCACUAAAGCUGUAUAGGGAGAAAAGAACAUUUAAAACAAUUUAAUCAGAGAUUAAAAAAAUUAAAUUGCUAAGCCAAAUGCAAGAAUUUUGAAAUAAUUAAUAAACACAUAUACAUUCUUACUUGCCCUUAAGGAACACAUAAGGUUUGUAAAAUUCUGAGAACCACAUUGCAAACUUGAUUUUGCAAUUAAGGUCCAUGUAAACUUGCCUGAAAUACUGGCAACUAAGGAUGUUCACCAAAUGCAAUACCUUUACAAAUUAGAAACAUAAAAAUAUAUAUAUUAUAAUAAGAAAUGAGAAUUAAUUAAAUAAGAGAAGUUCUUAUAAAAAAUACAAGACAUAAUGUUUUAAGAAACCCUUAAUUAUUCAAUACCCUUAACUUGGCUUCGUAAGAAACGUGACCAAAAUAGUUUUGGCCAUAAUUUCAGGCAGGUUUAUUAAUAUUCAAAAUGAUUAGUUCGCCCCAAAAGAAUAUUUUUCGCUAGACGCUUAAGUCCUAUCAUUAGUCAAUUGCUAAUGUUUCCAGUAUUUGAUGACAUGGCAAUAUUUUAAGGAUAAUUUUACCCUUCAUUAUGUCGUAGCGUGCAAGAAUCGGAACUCGACUGCUACGCUUGCAAAAUUUAGGGAGUCGCCAUCAAAUUAUUUUUUUAUUUAGGUGCGAUUGGCUACAUAUUAAGUUUGUUCUUCUCAACGAAAUCUUAAAUUAAUUUUAGGAUUGCUUAAAGAACAAGACUCGGUCUACGUAUUUCAGAGUUAGAUUCGGAAGCACAAUUAUACACGGGGAAAGAUUAGUAGCCGCAUGACGCCCGUUCUACGAAUAGUACCACUUAAUCAUAUGCUACCCUAUUAACCUUAACUUUUUAUUUUUAUUUUUAUGUUUCCCUAAUCUUUAUUUAUUUAUUUUAUCUUUUAUUUUAUUUACAAAUUAAAACAUUUUUUUCAACCUUACGAGUGAGACAUGCAUAUGAUGCAAUUGUGAAAUACAUGACAUAAAAUCUGGAUAAUGUCAACAAAAACCAUUUAUUGAGUGUACUUUUCAAAUCUGUCCAUCACACUAGUGAGAUUCGGGAGCAUUCUCUCACCUAGAGAAAUAUCCGAAAAACUAGCAUUCGCAAGUUUAACGAGAAAAUCCCAUCAUCGGGUAGUUGUUUGCACGUAAAAACUAUAUUUUAAUAAAUGCAAAUCUUAAUAUGAGCAGAAACUUUUUAUUAAAAAUAUUUUUCGAGCCCUCUCAUCGUACUGGUGGGACUCGAAGGUAUCCUUUCACCUAGAGAAUAGUUGGUUAAAAAUAUUUGUUUACACUAUGUCCAUGAGCACUUUUAUCUUCUAGUUGCCCCAAAUUUGUUUCUGUUUCUAGGUGCGUGUAUGCUUAUAUGGGAAUCCCGUUGCAAUCAAGUAAUAUCUCAUCUGCACUUGCAACAUUCAGGAUGCUUGAGGAGCCCAUUUAUAAUCUUUCCGAUACAAUCUCAAUGACUGUGAUUAGACUAAAAGAUCCCUGAAUAGAAUAUCCUCAUCAUUUCUCAACAUGAUGACCUGCCAGCUGAUGUCAUUCAGAAGCUUCCUAAAGGAAGUACUGACAUAGCAGUUGAUCAGAAGUCCUUCCACCAGUUCCUUGGUUCUUUUGCUCUAUCUUGGCACAUUCGAUACUCUUUUUGUUCUUCAUUCUGGACUUUUCACCUAACCAAAUUCUCUUGUAUUUCAGGAACUUUUCUUGAAGCUUUUGAGUAAAAACAUUUAUAUAUGCUACUCAUCAAAUAGAACUUUAAUUUUACCAAAUGCGAAUCUUAUAUAUCCUAGUGAGUGAUACAUAUAGUUUGAAACAGUAACUCAUCUUUUCUAGGAAAAUAAGAUAUCCCCUACCUCUACAUUCCUUUUAAUGGUAACGAGUUUGUCGUAACAUACGGGUCCGGGAACCCAACCGUCAGACGCGAAUGUGAAAACUCACUAAAAAAUUAAACUAAGAGUCGCCACCAAUCUUUUUUACUAGGUGCGAUUGGCCACCUAUUGACUUGAUUCUAAUCGAUGAAAACAUAAAUUAAUUUUAAGCCCACCGAAAAGAACCUUAAACUGGUCUACGAUUUUCUAGAUCAAGGCUCGGGAGUACGGUUACGCCCGGGAAAAGAUUAGCACCCACGGGACGCCCGUUCCAUGAACGGUUAUCAUUCUUAGAUUAUCCUAUUAGGCUUUAAUUUUUAAAUUAGCUAUAUUUCCUUAGUUAUUGUUCACUUAUUUUUAUCUCCUAUUUGACUUAAAAUGGAAUGCAAAUAUGAGGCAAGAUGCAUGGUGUGAAAAAAAAGCCGAAUGAAUAACUUUUUAUCGAGGAUAUUUUCUCAAAUCCGCCCAUCAUACUGGUGGGACUCGAGGUAUUCUCUCACCUAGGGAAUUAUCUGAGAAAUUCACCUUCGCAAAUUUGACGAAUAAUUCCUAUCAUCGGAGUUAUCGUACGUUUUCUUUAAAAAUAAUGUUUUCGUGCAUAAUGAACCUAAUUCGAGCAAAAGCCUUUUAUUAAAGAUGUCUCUCGAGCCCUCCCAUCAUACUGGUGGGACCCGAGGAUAACUUUUCACUUAGGAAACUUUUCGAGAAAUACUCGCCUUCGCAAGAUCCUCGAAAGAUCCCAUCAUCGGGGCUUAAACUCGAAAAUAGAAAUAUUUAUAUGCAAUGAUAUGUAUGAUGCAAUAUAUAUAUGCUAUGCUAAUGCAAUUAUCUAUAUUUUUUAGUUAUUAUUAAUUAAUUAUUAUUUUUAUUUUAUUAUAUUUUUUGUUAUCAUAUUUUCUAUUCUUAUUUCUUAUUAUUAUUUUUUUAUACUUUACAUUUUUUGUUCUAAGUUCUUAUGUUUUUCAUUUAUAAUUAGACAAAUUGUUUAUAAUUCUAUGUUAUUUUAGUGAACAAAAAUUUUAUAUAUUUUUUUUAUUAUACUAUUUUUAUUUUAUAUAUUUUUAUAUUUUUAUUAUUAUAUUUUUUCAUAAGCAAUCUUUUAUUCAAACCUAAUACCUAAGAUCUUAUUUUUUAUAUAUAUAUAUAUAUAUAUAUUUACAUUUUUUAUAGUUUAUGCCACUUAAUAUUCAAUGCUUAAUUUUACAUUAGUUGUUUUUUAUUAUUUUUUUAUUUUUUUAUUUAUUUAAUGUCAUGUAUAUUGUAUUUUCACAAAUUAAUUAUUUAUUAUAUGUUUGAAUUAUUAUUAUUUUUUAUCAUUUAUUAUUUAUUUAUUAUUUUUAUCAAGUAAUUUUUUUGGUAUAGUCAAACUCUUUAUUUAUUACGAAUUUCGAAAUCUUGAAAUCGAUGCUCUUCCAUCGUACUGGUGGAGCCUUGAUUCGGAUUCCGAACCUAGGGAAUAUCGGCCUAGGAUUACGACUUCUCGUAUCCCGACCGAUUAUCCCAUCAUCGGCAAUGUUUACUUAUCGAAUAACUCAUCACUUUGUCCCAUUCUCAUUCUUUUUCAUUUAUGAAACUAUCUUUUUAAAUACUUUGACAAUUACAUAUUUCAUUCUACUAUAUUUUCUAUUUCUAUUAUUUUAUUAUUUUUUCUUAUCCUUUUCCAUGUACAAUAUCCCUCUAAGACUAUUUACCAUGUUAUUAUUUUUUACUUAAAUGUUCAUUUAUUUUCCUACUCAUUUUUAUUUUUGGAUCUAUUUUUAAAACUAACCCUUCUCUUCCCUUUUUUUUUUACCUAAAUUUUGCUAUUAUCUAUUAUAUAAUUAAAUGUAUAGAUUCUUAUAUUUUUACCUUAUCCCAUUUCUUGUAUAUAAAAUUUUAAUUUCAUUUUUUUAAAAAUAACUAAAAUAAAUAAAUAUAUAAAACAAAAAUAAAGAAAAGACAAAGCAUUCACAAUAGGCAUCAAGGAUUCAAGCCCAAUAAUUGUAGAGCCCAGAACAUACCAAGGUCGGGCUUGGACUAGCCCAAAACUGAACCCACAGAUGCCCACAAUAGCUCCAGAAGCCCACUCCUCCUUCAGCCAAAAUGCACCGUUUAGUGCCUUGCUUCAGCUGCCUCCUACUAGCCAAAACGACGUCGUUUAAUGCUUCAGCCCUAGCUAUUUAAACUUCUUUUCUUUCCUCCCUUUUCAUUUUCCCCUCUCACUUUCUCUCUCUACCACCAGAUCUCUCUCUUUUCUCUCUCUAAAAAUCAAACCUAACUUUAAAAAGAACCCUACUACCGGCGUCAACUUCUCUCUCCAAAACCCUUCGCCGACCGGUCGCCUAGAUCUAUUCUUUCUUUGCCCAACCGAUUCUCUCUCUCUUUGUUCCUAUGCCCACCGUUUGAAUCUCUCUCUCUCUCUCGAUGAUCGAAUCUCAGAUCGAUUACCCUGAAAUGACCGAUCGGUGACAAACGAAAGUCAGCUCUCACUUCCUUCCUCGCCGGUGAUUCAGAUCUAAGAAACCCGAAUCCCUCUCUUUUCUUCACUGCCGUCGUCAGUUUCCUUUCACCGAUGGCACAACAAACCAAGCCUCCUAUCCAGUGACAGCAAAACCCAGACUUAAACGCCCCACAAACAUUACAAAGACCCCAAACUCUCUCUCUCUGACCAGCGACACAACCUAAACCUCAAAAUCCUUUUUUUUUGUAUCUUUUUUUUUUUGUUUUGGAUUCCCCGGUUGCUAGUGAAUAUAGGGUAUUUGUUGUGGCUAGGUAUUUGGGUUGCUAGAAAGUUAGGAUUUUUGAUUUUUUUUGUUGUCUCCCCCCUUUUCGAUUGCUACAGUGCCCCCUCCCCUUUAUACCCGGUUCCUGGGCACUGGGGAGGGGGCACAUUCCACUACCUUGCCAGACGCGAAUUUUUUGCAUCUGGCAGGGUGAGGGAGGUGCCUGGCAGGGUGCGUCCGCACCCUGCCAGUCGUACCUUUCUCCCCCCUUUUUUCAUUUCUUCUUUAUUUUUUAAUUUUUAUUAUUUUUAUUAUAUUUUUUUAAUUCAUUUUUUCGUUUAUGAUUUUAGUGUCUACAACUGCCCCUCUUUGCGCAUUUCGGAAAUUCGAAAUAGUGCAAAGACGUAGACACUGUAUUUGACUAAAUUCUUUAAUUCUCUUACCAAGUUUUUUUUUCUUAAAUGAAUUCCUCAAAAUUGAGGCAAUGCGACUUUUAAAAAUGAACUCUUCAAAACUGAGGCCACGAGACUUUUAAAAUAAACUCCUCAAAACUGAGGCAAUGGGACUUUUAAAAUGAACUCCUCAAAAUUGAGGCAACGAGACUUUGAAAAUGAACUCCUCAAAACUGAGGCAACGCAACCUUUUAAAAUGAACUCCUCAAAAUUGAGGCAACGAGACUUUAAAAUGAAACUUAAAAUUGAGGCAACGAGACUUUAAAAUGAACUCCUCAAAAUUGAGGUAACGAGACUUUAAAAAUGAACUCCUCAAAACUGAGGCAACGAGACUUUAAAAAUGAACUCCUCAAAACUGAGGUAACGCAACCUUUUUUCCUUUUUUGGAAUGGUGAAAAAUAAUCAACUCCUCAUCUGAAGUUCUAUGAUUUUAAAGAUGAAUUUUCCUCUUUUUCAAUUGUUUUAAAAUUGUGGACAUGGCAAUUCAUCUUCAUCAGUUUCCUUUUUUUUUUUGGUGUUUUAAAGCCUUCUCUUUAAUCAAUGGGGGAUGAAUCGAUCACGCUUCUGAUCUCUCAUCUUCCCCAAUUCAUUGCUCAUAACUGUUUUCUUCCUCUAUCAUAUGCAUGGUCCAAUCAUUCUUCACAUUUUUACUAUGCUCCAUUCUAUUGCUAUUUCCAUUUCUUUCUUUCUUUUCUUAGUCUUUUCUCUUUUCUUUUUUUACAUUACCAGACUCCAUUUCAUUCCUUGUCAAUUACGAUCCUUUUUCAAAAUAUUGCAAACAUUUCUUACUUUAUCAUGCUCUUUAUUAAGUAUCAUUCCAAUUUUAUGACAAAUGCAAUGCAAUGUACUCAUAUCUCCUCUCUUGGCAGAAUGGAAAUGAUGGCAUUGUUGGGAGCAGAAAGGCUACUUUUCAUUAGAAAAAAUGGGAGUUUCUACAAUCAAGCAUAAUGACAAGGAACAGGGGAAAAUUGAUUAAUACGAAAGGGAUACAGUUCUUUUUUAUUGACUGUUUCGAUAGAUAUUAACAGUAGUCUUGAAAUUUUAUCCCGAAACAGGCACAUUUGUCAGCUCCCUUAUCUUUUGUAUAAACAUCUCGGAUCAUGAUCUUCACCCUUUCUGUGUUAAGCUUUUGUAGUACUUGGACCUCCUUCGUGUCUAGACCGCCCUUUCGGGUUUUCGCCCUAAACAUAUCUCCCAAAUUCAAGCCGCAUUUUCAGGUUUUCAACUUGAAAAAUUUUUUUUUUAUGCAAAAUAUUUCUUGAGAGCAUCGGCAUUCACCGGGUUGGAAAACUCCCUUCCGUCCAUCUCCGCCAAAAUUAGUGCUCCUCUUGAAAAAGCUUUCUUCACCACAAAUGGUCCUUCCCAAUUCGAUGUCCAUUUCCCGCGAGGAUCAUGCUGGUUCGGGAGAAUUCUUUUCAAUACUAAUUCUCCUUCUCGGAACUGUCGAGGAUGUGCCUUCUUGCCAUAUGCCCUCAUCAUUCUCUUUUAAUAUAACUGCCCAUGGCAAAGUGCCGUCAACCUUUUUUCUUCUAUGAGAUUCAAUUGCUCAUAUCGAGCAUUAACCCAUUCGGCUUCUUUCAAUUGUACUUCUUUAAGGACCCGAAGGGAAGGGAUUUCCACUUCAAUUGGCAAAACUGCUUCUAUCCCAUACACCAAAGAGAACGGUGUAGCUCCCGUGGAAGUUCGGACUGUUGUGCGAUAAGCAUGCAAAGCAAAAGGUAACUUCUCAUGCCAAUCUUUGUAUACAUCUGUCAUCUUUUCAAUUAUCCUUUUGAUGUUCUUGUUGGCUGCUUCUACCGCUUCAUUCAUCUUUGGGCGAUAAGGCGUUGAAUUGUGAUGCUUGAUCUUGAACUUAGCACAAACCUCUUUCAUCAUCGAACCAUUGAGGUUACUAGCGUUAUCCGUGAUGAUCCUUUUCGAGAGACCAUAGUAGCAUAUUAUUUCUUUUUGGAUGAACUUACAUACCACUUUCUGGGUCACACUAGCAUAAGAUGCUACUUCUACCCACUUAGUGAAGUAGUCAAUUGCCACCAGAAUAAACCGAUGCCCAUUUGAUGCCUUCGGGGUUAUCAACCCAAUCACAUCCAUGCCCCACAUUGAGAAUGGCCAUGGUGAUGUCAAUACAUGUAGUGAAUUAGCAUGAGUGUGGAUUCCGUCUGCGUAUAUCUGACACUUGUGACACUUUCGAGCGAAAUCCAUACAAUCCGUUUCCAACAUGAGCUAGUAAUACCCUACUCUCAUGACUUGUCUUGCCAACAUAUGCUCACUUGCAUGUGCCCCACAAAUUCUUUUGUGGACUUCUUCAACUAUUCUCCGAGCUUCGAUUGAAUCCACACAUCUCAAAAGCACUUGAUCUCUACUUCUCUUAUAUAAGAUGUCCCCAUCCAAAACGAAAUUCAUUGCCAACCUUCUAAUGGUUUUCUUGUCAUUUUCUGAGCUUUGUUCCGGAUACUGCUGAAACUUUAGAUAAUGCACAAUAUCAUGGUACCACAGUUUCCCGUCUACUUCUUUCUCUACACUGGAACAGUGUGCAGGGCACUCUCAAAGAUUAAUCAUGAUGGGUUGAAUCUUGACAUCGGUACCAACUUUGAACAUUGCUACUAGCGUAGCUAAUGCAUCAGCCAUUUGGUUCUCCUCUCGAGGCAAAUGGGUGAAGCGAAUCUUAUCAAAAUUUUCAAUCAGCUUUGAAACAUACUUAUGGUACCGGACUAACUUCAAGUCGCGUGUCUCCCAUUCUCCUCGCAACUGAUAAAUGACCAAAGCAGAAUCCCCGUACACUUCCAAAACGUGAAUUUUCCUCUCGAUUCCUGCUUGAAGACCCAUGACACAAGCUUCAUAUUCGACCACAUUAUUGGUACAAUAGAAGUUGAGUUUAGCUAUGACGGGAUAAUGAUCUCCUUCUGGUGACACCAACACGACCCCUAUGCCAUGCCUCAAGGCAUUUGAAGCUCUGUCGAAAAACAUCUUCCAACUCUCUUUCUCUUCUGAUUCUUCCUCAUUUGUUUGACAAAUCGACAUCAGGUCCUCAUCUGGAAACUUAAACUCCAUUGAUUCAUAAUCCUCAUCUACCCUUUCAGCCAGAAAAUCAGCGAUUGCACUUCCUUUGAUAACUUUUUGGGACACAUAUACAAUAUCAUAUUCAGACAACAACACUUGCCAUCUUGCCACUCUUCCUUAUAAGGAUGGUUUCUCGAAGAUGUAUUUAAUAGGAUCCAACUUCGCAAUGAGACAAGUGGUAUGAUAUAGCAUGUACUGCCUGAGUCGAUGCGUCAUCCACGCUAAAGCACUACACAUUUUUUUCAACGAGGAAUACUUGGACUCGUACUUAGUGAACUUUUUACUUAAGUAGUAAAUUGCCCUUUCUUUCUUACCAGUUUCAUCAUGCUGUCCCAACACACAUCCCACGGAUCAUUCAUUUACUGUCAGGUAUAAGAGGAGGGGUCUCCCAGCCACAAGUGGUACCAAUACUAGCGAACUCAACAGAUAUUUUUUAACCUUGUCAAAAGCAACUUGGCACUCCUCAUUCCAUGCCCCAGGAUUAUGUUUGCGAAGGAGUUUGAAGAUCGGGUCACAUUUGAGUGUGAGUUGUGAUAAGAACCGGGCUAUAUAAUUUAAUCUUCUCAAAAAUCCUCUAACUUCUUUUUGAGUUUUGGGAUGAGGCAAAUCACGGAUUGCUUGAACCUUAUCCGGGUCAACUUCUAUUCCUCUUUCACUGACGAUGAAACCUAGUAGCUUUCCUGAAGUGACUCCAAAAGUACACUUUGCUGGAUUUAAUCUAAGCUGAAAUUUUCGUAAUCUCUUGAAUAAUGUUUCAAGAUUGGUCGCAUGGUCCUCUGUUUUGCGAGCUUUUACAAUCAUAUCAUCCAUAUACACCUCAACCUCUUUGUGCAUCAUAUCAUGGAAGAGAGUCACCAUAGCUCGCUGAUAAGUUACCUCGGCAUUUUUCAAACCAAAUGGCAUUACCUUUUAACAAAAGGUCCCCCACAUAGUUAUGAAGGUAGUUUUCUCUCUAUCCUCUGGUGCCAUCUUAAUUUGGUUAUACCCUGAAAAGCCAUCCAUAAAGGAAAACAUGGAAUGGCGAGCAGUAUUGUCAACAAGGGUGUCAAUGUGGGGAAGAGAAAAAUUAUCUUUUGGGCUAGCUCUAUUCAAGUCUCGAUAAUCCACACACAUUCUCACUUUCCCGUCUUUCUUAGGUACUAGGACAAUAUUUGCAACCCAUUCAGGGUACUUAGCUACUUCCAAGAAUCCUGCAUCGAACUGCUUUUUCACCUCUUCUUUAAUUUUCAACAACAUUUCAGGUUUCAUUCUUCUCAACUUUUGCUUAAUCGGUUUGCAUUCGAGUUUCAAAGGCAGUUUAUGGGCUACAAUGUCUGUAUUGAGUCUUGGCAUAUCUUGAUAAGACCAUGCAAACACAUCUACAUAUUCAUGAAGUAGCUUUAUUAGUUUUUCUUUUUCCAUUGACACCAACGUCACACCAAUUCUAACUUCUUUCUUAUUUUCGUCAUUUCUCAAAUUUAUCGUUUCAAGUGUCUCUUUAUGUGGGACAAUUUGUCUCCCCUCCUGUUCUACUAGUCUUAACAAGUCCAGAGUUAAAUCAUAAUCCUCCACGUUUUCUGUAUCGUCAAGUUCACUAACACUUGUACCUUUUUCGAAAUUAACUUCAAAACCAAUGUCAUUAUCAUCUUUGCAUUCAUUAUUUGGAAUCCUGGAAGGUAAAGGGGAUUGAAAUAUGUAGAGCUAUUGUAUAGAUAAACAGUUAAAAUAAAAGGAUGAAAUGACACGAAUGGAAAUGGUUAAUCAUGAGAAGAGAUAUGAGAAAUGUACUACGCAUGUCCAUUUAUUAGAAUGAUAAAUGAUAAAAAAGCCUGAUACAUAAAAUUCCAAUGCUUUUGGGCAUAAGCAUGGAUGUUUAGUUUGCAUUACUUUGAAAUUGAAUCACAAGUGACUAGUAAACUCAUGGUGGUCCAGCUGCUCAACUUUAGAUUCGAUGGCCCGAAGUAUGUAGUAGGAAUCCCAUCCACAUUUCCUGACUGUUCUUCAGCUUCCUCUGUUGCACAUAUUGAUAAAUCAGAAAAGGCUUCCCCUAAAGCUGACACUGAUUCUCGGCUCCCAACGGUGGGUGAUUCAAGAAAGAUGCAACCUCCAAAUCGGAAUGUCUCGUAGAGAUGAGGAUAUAUGUCAUUCCUUGGAUUUCCAACUCAUGCCUCUUAAAGCGAGCCAACCUUUCUUUUCUUCUUUCGGCUAUCAUUUCUUCUCUUUCCUUCUUAGUUGGCUUAUACCUCAGGCCAAACCUUUCUUCAUUUUUGGUAGCACGUAUGGGCCUUCUAAUACCUUGUAGUUCUUUUCCCAAUCCUGCCCCCGCUCGGUAUCCUGUUCCUACUAUCUGACUGACAGCCAUCUUAGUGGUUUUGGAAAGCCUCGAAAUAGGCGGUGUGGUUCCUUCUCCAACAUAUGUGGUGUUAACAAACUCGAAGGAUCGAAAGGAACAUUCAGGCACUUCUUCCGCCGUUUCCACGUAAGGAGUAUCUGUUGGCUUGCUUAUGAGUAAGUCCUCUUCCCCGUUAACACAGACAAUCUUCCCAUCUACGAUGAACUUGACCUUCUGAUGAAGAGAUGAAGGUAUGGCCCUAGCCAUAUGGAUCCAAGGUCUUCCCAACAAAUAAUUGUAUGAAGGAGCGAUAUCCAUAACCUGGAAUUCAAUGGUAAAGGUACACGAGCCAAUUUCUACCGGUAUCUCAAUGUCCCCUACUACUUCUCUCUUUGUUCCGUCGAAGGCUCUCACGAUCAUUUGACUCUUUCGCAUGUAGGACAUGUUGAUGGGUAAACGGGCCAAGGUCCUCAUGGGCAUCACAUUUAAGGACGAUCCGUUGUCAAACAGUACCUUUGCGACGGUACAGCCUUUACACUUGGUAGUGAUAUGCAAGGCUUUGGAAUUUCUUCUACCUCCAGAAGGGAUUUCUUCAUCGCUAAAGGAUAUUAUGUUACCCACCGAAAUGUUUCCAACGAUGUAGUCCAAAUUUUCAACUUAGAUAUCGUGAUCCACAUAUGCUUAGUUCAGAAUCCUCAUCAAAGAGUUCCUAUGUGGUUUCGAGCUGAGAAGCAAAGAUAGUAGUGAAAUACGAGCGGGCAACCUGUUCAAUUGCUCGACCACAUUGUACUCACUAUGUUUGAUAAACUUGAGGAACUCGGCAGCUUCUUUUUCCGUCACCAGUCCUUUUGAGCCAUCUGUCGAUUCCGGAGGUUGCACCUUUUCUUCUCUCGAUCUUUGCUCUUUUUCCUUUCCUUUCUCAUUCUUGAGAUUCUCCAAUGCUUCCGGUGAAUAGCAACGUCCGUUGUGUCCGCACCCUGCCAGUCGUACCUCUCUCCCCCCUUUUUUCAUUUCUUUUUUAUUUUUUAAUUUUUAUUAUUUUUAUUAUAUAUUUUUUUAAUUUAUUUUUUUGUUUAUGAUUUUAGUGUCUACAGAGUUAGCAUUUGAAAAAUGGCAUUCUUGCUAUUAGAUGAAUCGAUCCUGGCAAUCGCUUUCUUAAUAUUUGCUGUCAGAGAAGAUGGAGAGAAUUGGAUCGUGGGGCAGAAGCAACCACUAGUCUGUACAAAUGGAUAGCCAGCUAAAAAGACAAGGUUCACCAUUCAGUUGGGGGUAAAAAAUUCCCCUCCACUUUUUUGAUGAACCAUUCAUUUCUCGAAGGUGUUUAACAAUGAAUAAUUCUUUAUUUUAUUUGAAAGCACAGAUGCUAUCAAGUACACAAAUAGUCACAUAUUGAAAGUAAUGCAAGUAUUCUCCACCUUUCCCUUAUCUGUUAAGCUGUUCAAAGCUUGAUACCCUCUACUUAAAUCUUAUUCAAAGGGUCCUGCAUACAAAUUUAUAAAGAUGUCGGUAAUAGAAUAAUAUUAUUCUUGACAAUAAUUAAGAUUACAUCGCAUGUCUUAAGAGGCCAGGAAUGUGAAUGUUCAUCAUGUAAUCCUCCCAAUCAAUACUCUUGGAAUCGAAGUCAAAUACACCCAUAUCAAUGCCUCUCCCUUGAGCCACCAUUCGCAACUUGUCUAAAUUUGUGUCACUAAAGCUGUAUAGGGAGAAAAGAGCAUUUAAAACAAUUUAAUUAGUGAUUAAAAAUAUUAAAUUGUUAAACCAAAUGCAAGAAUUUUUAAAUAAAUAAUAAACUCAUAUGCAUACUCACAUGCCCUUAAAGAAGGUAUAAGGCUUGUAAAAUUCUGCCAACCGCAUUGCCAACUUGACUUUGCGAUUAAGGUCCAUGUAAACUUGCCUGAAAUACUGGCCACUAAGGGCAUUCACCAAAUACAAUACCUUUACAAAUUCGAAACAUAAAAAUAUAUAUUAUGAUAAGAAAUGAGAAUUAAUUAAAUAAGAGAAGUUCUGAUAAUAAAUACAACACCUAAUGUUUAAAGAAACCUUUAAAUUAUUUAAAAAAAUUUUAAAUAAACUUUUAUUCUUUUAUUACGUUCAAUUAAAUCUUUGUGCUUUUAUUUUAAGUCAAAUAGAUUUUUAUAACUAAUGGUUAAUUAACUGUCAUUAAUCAAAACGUCACAUGUCAUUUGAUGUCAAGCGAUGCUAACGUGGCAUUAAGGUGGAGGGUGAAAAAUAUCACAUGGCCAUUUCAUCAUGUCACUAUCUAUCAUAACAUGUCAGCAUACCAUCUCAACACCACAUGACAUAAAAUGAAAUGAAAUGUUUUGACUAAUUAUAGUUAGUUAACCGUUAGUUUUAUAGACUUAUUUGGCCCAAAACAAAAAUAUAACGGUUUAAAUGAAUGCAAUAAAAAAAUAACAUAUUUGAAUUUGUCUGAGUUGUUCAAACACAUUUUUAGAUAAUAUGUCAAAAUAAAAAUUAAGAUUGUGACAAACCUUCAAUGGGAAGACAUAUUUAAUCCACAUGUACAGAAAAAAUCCAUUGACUGUGCUCAACACUGUUCCUUUACGAACUUUAACUCUUUGUCCAUCUCUAUUAAUCCAUGGCUUUUUAGUGAAAUAAUGAUAUACAAAUUUAUGAAGAUCCCCGAAUUUUAUAGGAUUUUUAAAUGAGGAGCUAACAUGGUAAAUGGCCGGACAAGAUUGAUAAUUCGUGUGAACAACCAUGGCCACAGCCAUUGCAUUUACCACCAUGUCCGCUGGUAUCUGCAUAAAUUUUGAAAUUCACGUGUUUAAUUUCACUUGCAAUUAUACCCAGCUAUAGGAAGAAAAGGGUAUAUGUUACCUAGAGACUAAAAAUACUCACCACAUCGAGGGCAUAGCUAGGAUAGCCAGGAAAACAUGUUAAUUUCCCCUUGCCAUAACUCACAAUGACGCUAUCUAUGGUUCUGUAGUAACGCAAAAAUUAAUGAGUCAUUAUUCCAAAUACACAACGUUAAUGAAAGCAAUAAUUUUUUUAAAAAAAAAAUUAAUGAAUGCGAUAAAUUGCAUUAAUGAAAUAUAAUAAUAAUCCUAAAUCAAAUACCAUAAAAAUUUGAAGUUACAAUUUGGUCGUGAUAAUUACCUCACACCUUCAAUCCAGCCAGGGAAGGGUUCUUUAUAAGUGCUUGCAAUCAUGGUAGGGCGGAUAAUGACAAGAGGCAAAUCUCCUUUGAAGUUCCCUAAAAGCAUCUCUCCCAUUGCCUUUGUAAACACAUAUGUGUUAGGCCACCCAUACAAUUUUGCCCUGUAUUCAUAAGAAACAAGGUUUGUCAUUGUUUUCUUUCUACUUUUUUUUUUUAAUUUAAGAAAUCGUCCAUACUAUUCAAGGUGAAGUGGAAAUAACGACGGUGAGAGAGAAACCUUUUGAGACCGAAUUCCAUCAUUUCUGAUUUUAUUACUUCGUUUGGGGCAUGUUGGAAUCGCAAUUCAUCUAAUUUUUCCUCCACAAUUCUCUUCUCUUCAGUAAUGUCUAAUUUAAAUGUUUUCAACAGUGUGUCAUCCAUGGAAAAUGGUUUCUCUAAUAUGAUUCCUACUUGUUCACCGCACACGUAGGCUAAAAGAAAAUUAUGAUAAAAAGCAUGAUUGUCAAUCUUAAUUCAUCUCCGAUAUAAGUACUGAAUGUACUAAAAUUUAACUAUGUAUAUAGCUAAUUUCAAUUACUAAUCAAUCAAGAACUAUCAAUGUCAUAUUCACCAGUUGAUGUGUGGAGAAACAACUUUAUCGCAUCACAUUUCUUUGCAAAGUUCAAAGCGUUGAAAGCUCCAAACGUAUUGAUGGCCAAUGCAACAUCAUACCUUGAAAAAUAAGAGGAAAGAAGUAAAGAAAAGCGGCAAAUUAUAGGCAAAAUUAUGUUCUUAAGACAUACUCCUACAAUUCAAAUAUGAGGAUUCUAAAUUACCUUUCAUUGAAUCCUGUCAUGGCAGCAACAUGUACUACAAUUUCUAUUUCUUUCAACAUUUGUUCCCUUAAUUUUGAUUCAUUCACCCCCAAGUUUUCGGAAGAGAUAUCGCCAGGCACUGC